rnacentral:rRNA from 1 species
CACGUAGGCACCAAGCGUUGUCCGGAUUUAUUGGGCGUAAAGAGCUCGUAGGCGGUUCGAUAAGUCGGGUGUGAAAACUCUGGGCUCAACUCAGAGACGCCACCUGAUACUGUCGUGACUUGAGUCUGGUAGGGGAGUGUGGAAUUCCCGGUGUAGCGGUGAAAUGCGCAGAUAUCGGGAGGAACACCAGUGGCGAAGGCGGCACUCUGGGCCAGUACUGACGCUGAGGAGCGAAAGCGUGGGGAGCGAACAGG